rnacentral:tRNA from 1 species
UCGGGCGUAGCUCAGCGGCAGAGCACCGACGAGGACGGAGGACGAGGGUUCGAUCCCCUUCACCCGCA